GAGUAAUGUCUGGGAAACUGCCUGAUGGAGGGGGAUAACUACUGGAAACGGUGGCUAAUACCGCAUAACGUCGCAAGACCAAAGAGGGGGACCUUCGGGCCUCUUGCCAUCAGAUGUGCCCAGAUGGGAUUAGCUUGUUGGUGAGGUAACGGCUCACCAAGGCGACGAUCCCUAGCUGGUCUGAGAGGAUGACCAGCCACACUGGAACUGAGACACGGUCCAGACUCCUACGGGAGGCAGCAGUGGGGAAUAUUGCACAAUGGGCGCAAGCCUGAUGCAGCCAUGCCGCGUGUAUGAAGAAGGCCUUCGGGUUGUAAAGUACUUUCAGCGGGGAGGAAGGUGUUGUGGUUAAUAACCGCAGCAAUUGACGUUACCCGCAGAAGAAGCACCGGCUAACUCCGUGCCAGCAGCCGCGGUAAUACGGAGGGUGCAAGCGUUAAUCGGAAUUACUGGGCGUAAAGCGCACGCAGGCGGUCUGUCAAGUCGGAUGUGAAAUCCCCGGGCUCAACCUGGGAACUGCAUUCGAAACUGGCAGGCUUGAGUCUUGUAGAGGGGGGUAGAAUUCCAGGUGUAGCGGUGAAAUGCGUAGAGAUCUGGAGGAAUACCGGUGGCGAAGGCGGCCCCCUGGACAAAGACUGACGCUCAGGUGCGAAAGCGUGGGGAGCAAACAGGAUUAGAUACCCUGGUAGUCCACGCCGUAAACGAUGUCUACUUGGAGGUUGUGCCCUUGAGGCGUGGCUUCCGGAGCUAACGCGUUAAGUAGACCGCCUGGGGAGUACGGCCGCAAGGUUAAAACUCAAAUGAAUUGACGGGGGCCCGCACAAGCGGUGGAGCAUGUGGUUUAAUUCGAUGCAACGCGAAGAACCUUACCUGGUCUUGACAUCCACAGAAGAAUCCAGAGAUGGAUUUGUGCCUUCGGGAACUGUGAGACAGGUGCUGCAUGGCUGUCGUCAGCUCGUGUUGUGAAAUGUUGGGUUAAGUCCCGCAACGAGCGCAACCCUUAUCCUUUGUUGCCAGCGGUCCGGCCGGGAACUCAAAGGAGACUGCCAGUGAUAAACUGGAGGAAGGUGGGGAUGACGUCAAGUCAUCAUGGCCCUUACGACCAGGGCUACACACGUGCUACAAUGGCGCAUACAAAGAGAAGCGACCUCGCGAGAGCAAGCGGACCUCAUAAAGUGCGUCGUAGUCCGGAUUGGAGUCUGCAACUCGACUCCAUGAAGUCGGAAUCGCUAGUAAUCGUGGAUCAGAAUGCCACGGUGAAUACGUUCCCGGGCCUUGUACACACCGCCCGUCACACCAUGGGAGUGGGUUGCAAAAGAAGUAGGUAGCUUAACCUUCGGGAGGGCGCUUACCACUUUGUGAUUCAUGACUGGGGUGAAGUCGUAACAAGGUAACCGUAGGGGAACCUGCGGUUGGAUCACCUCCUUACCUGAAAGAAGC
rnacentral:rRNA from 1 species